AACUGUACCAAGUGUAUCCCACCCAGUUACCAACGCGAGUUACCAUUUCCAGUCUGAUAUUUGACAUGCCGCGCGCGAGACGUUUGCAAAACAAUUCCUGUGUUUACGUGAAAUAAAAACAUUGUUUUGUGAAUUUUAAGUUCAGUUGCGGGUUCAGUGGGGAUCAAGAUGGCUGACGAUGACAGCGAACUUGAAUUCGAUAUUGAGCCUGGAAACGUGGGCGACGAAUGUCGUCGGUACCUUAAGGAACGCUUUCGUGGACAAAGCAUGCCCCCUGAAGCUGUGCGUCUCCUCAAUCAGCUGAAUCAAAGCGCCCAAGGAAGCGGUGUCAACGCCACCCCGCAAGACGGACAAGCUAGCACCGCUAAGGGGAAGAAACCUGCGGCCGAGCAGAAGGUACAUAUAACUGGUUACGGCCAUAAUUAUGUAACAAGUAGCUAGUCUGUAGGAAACAAAAACACCAAAGAAACGAAAAUCUCUAGACCCAGAACUUCUAGCGAUGAAGAAUCAGCUCAGUGAAGCUCAAUCUAAGUAUAGGAAAUGUAGGAUAGAUCUCCGAGGAUACGAGGAUCAGAAGACGGCAAACAGACAUAAAGAGCGAAUACAGAACCUUUACGAGCAACUGCAAAACGAAAUAAAGAAAUAUAAAGAUUUUGCAGAAAAAAGGAAGGUUGAUGUAGAUGAAUAUGUUUUGAACCUGGACCAACGGAUAAAUGGAACAAAUGAACAUAACAAGCAGACAUCUGUCGACGGCGAAUGUGGACACACAGACAACGAACCACAAAUCAAUGUAGAGAAAAGCAACGAGAACGUCUAUAACAUCAUCAUUAAAAUACCGAAAUAAGUUAAUACAAGACAUGCGCGCGAAAGUAAAGAAUGUACAAAUACAAUUUAGUAAUACAUAGAUAAUAAUUUUACAAUUUUAUAAGCAACUAUAAUUCUAUUUUCUGAAUUGAUAUUGGAAGGCUCAGUUUUGGGGAGAUUCGGUGCAUGGCAUAGUGUAGAAUUAAACACUUCGUUGGUUUAUUUCUCAGUCAUCUGUCCUCUGAUCUAUUUAGGGGAGUCUGAAGACGGCAACUUGCCUAUUCUCCUUCUCCAGGAGGUGUGGUCUCUCUUCUUCCACGACGUAAAUGUCCGCAAAAGUCAGGACACGACUGCAUGCUACGAUUUUGCAUUGCCAACCAUCUUCUAGUCGACAGUUAGCGGCGACCAAUUGUUUACAAUUUCUUCCUCAGAGGAAAUGCGGCUGGUGUCAGGUCUCGCGCACUCUAGCACUGAUAGGUAGUAUCUUCGCCUCUAGGUAGCACUCCAACCAGUUGCAUCCACCAAUCACGCAAGCUGCCUUCUAGGAUUAUAGUCAUUUACUAUUCGUAAUUUUGACUUUUGUAAUUCAACCAUAAAAUGGUUUAAUUGAUUAGCAUUUAACUAAUGCAUUUGAACUUUAGUAAAUAAUUUAUAUUAUUAUUGUAAAAUGUUAGUCUGCUUGUAAUUUCCAUGGAGUUUCUUGCCGGUUCUUCUCCAUGAUGGAUGUGUUUUGUGGAACCGUGCAGAAUUUUACAUUUUAUAAAAAAAUAUUAUUUAAGAACACUAUAUUAGGGACAUACCUACUACUAUUACAUGUAAGGGGCCAUCCAUUAUUUACGUCACACGUUAAAGGGGGGAAGGUGUCGAAGGAUCGACGAGGUGUGACUUAUGUGACAAGGGGACGGGAGGGGUCUUAAAUUUCGUGACGUCACAAUUAUAAUCUAACUGUUAAAACACAAACUUGAAACUAUUAUCUAAAAACUCAAAAAAUCCUAGACGGGCGAAGUGGUCAAAAAUCAUUAAAUUCGUGUGACGUUAUUUAUGGAUGGCCCCUAAUAUGAUUUUAUUAAACUGACAACAACGGUAAGAAGGGUGUCGUUUAAGCUUAAGUUUAAAAUAGUUUAUUAGUUAGUUGUUCAUUACAAGUUAGUACAAAUAUUUGUUAUCCAAUUCUAAAUGACUACGAUUCUUCUAAAUGUAUCAUACAGUAGUAUCACGUGCACUGGUCUUUGAGACAGGGUAAACAACAUGUUAUCAUCAUUUCGUUUGUUCAAUCGCGACAAAAGACUCACCGCCAUACUCAGAGUCAUUUAAUGGUUACUUAAUCUAGUAUUAGAACUUGAAACGGGAUAUUUACCAUGUUUUACUAUUUCUGAGUUUCCGAUAUUUCGGCACUGUUGCAAGCGCCAUGAUCACGGAUGAUUAAUUAAGUUUUUGACUGCCAAUAGAAAACUGUUGAAGGCAAAUCCUCCGCUAACAUCGGUCACCGGUGACCCCCACGGCGUUCAAUGUGUUAAUCUAGUCCUUAGUAAUUGUUUUCGAUACAAAAUCGUUACUAAGGAAUAGUUUAAGUAAUCAUUAUAUGUCUCUAAGUGCGGCAGUAAAAGUUGAAAUUGUUCGUCAGAAACUAAUAAGAAUUUAUUUCAUGUUUUGUUUUCAUUCCGGAGAAUAGUCUGCCCCUCGAUUGUGAAAUGGAGCCUGUGUUGAUCCAUAGAUAUAAACAUAACUGUUAACUAAUUAUUUACCUAUAUGUAGUUUUAGUUUUAUGUUAUACAUAUUAUUUUUUACAUUUAUAUUUUUGUACUCUUAUUAUGUAAUAAAUAAAUAUUUUCUCUUAA